rnacentral:lncRNA from 1 species
UGAAAACGUGUGUCGGCGCAGACAAAUGACGUCAUCAAAGACUCCCCAGCCUUGCUCAAUCUGCCACCUUGUGGAGUGGAGUACGAAGCGAAAAACAAUAACCGCUCUCUUCCUCAAAAAUAUAUAUAUUUUGUGCAUUCAGUCUUGAAUAUAUUUCCUACGUGAAAACCUAGAGGAACCAGGCUCCGAGGGAUGGCCAUUCCUCUUCUGGCUGUGCUGGCCAUUGAGGCCAUAUGGUUUCCAUGUGUUUGAAAUCAUUCCAUUCCAGCCAUUAUUAUCAGCUGUCCCCCCCUCAGCAGCCUGUGAUGUGUAUGAAUAGUACAAUGUGUUCUUUUAACUGUGGACCCUGACUUCUUGGUAAAACAGACCAUUUUCUCUCACACUGAUGCAAACAUCUCUAUACUGGUGCCAGUACUACUAAUACAAGGGUAUCCCACUAACUAGCUAUGUGAACUUGAUUUCCGAGAUAGCCUUCAAUACGCAUGCUUGAAAAAUAAAGCAUUCAUAAGAGCCUGUUCCGUGCAACCGCUUUUCAGAUAUAUGGUGAUAUUGCAAGUAGUUACAGCACACUGGGCAGACCGAGGCAAAGCACUGCUUGCUUCUUUGCCCUCUCCCCAUGAACGAGCAUCGUACUGAACUUCUGUCAUUGUACGUGCACGAGCUAAACUGUUUGCGUAGCGAGAUGUUGAAAAUGGCGGAGUAUAGAGACCAACGCGACAAUUAUAAUAUUAGUUAACCGUGAAUGACAAUUUCAAUACAAACGCAAGUUCUAUUUCGGAAUAAGUUAAUUUAAGGAGAGACAUGGAGUAUAGUUGAACACAUCGAAUUGGUUUUGAAACUGGCUUUGAAUUAGCUAGCGUUGCUAAUCUGGCUAGUUUCAAUAGUGUGAUUUUUUAUUUUUUAUCGCAGGUUUGUUUGUCAACAGCUGACGUUUAGCCACCAACCAACUUUUCCCUUACCAGUGCCAAACUACAGCACCAGAUCACAUUGUCCAUAGCGUGUGGAAGAGACUUUUACGGAGCGGCGGAUCAGAAAAUCAAGGCAACCGAACUAAGGUCCAGCUCGCUCGCCCCUCCCCAAGUGGGAUGGUGCUACAUGACGGGGAGGCCAUGGCGCCGUAGCCCCCUUUCCUGGAUCCUGCCAGCCAGCCCGCCACACCACCACCCCCCUCAGAGCAGAGGACCACCGCCACAGCAGCCCCCCCAUGAGUCACCCUCUGGAGCCCUAGAUCAAGUGUGCUGAAGCUCAGAAUGAGUGCUGUAGGGGAAAGGGCACUGGACCCUGCCACGUCAGAGCCUCGUAAGAGGAAGGGCUCGCUAUGCGACAUCUCAGGCCAGAGGUAAGUCACUCAGAACUAGCAGACACUCUCAUCCAGAACGAAGGACAAUGAGGAUGAUGAUGAUCUUUGUCCUUCAUGCAUAAAUUCUUUCCACUACUCUACAUACUCAAUAAGAAGCAUCCUCUCAGACAUAUAGCCUAGCUAGCUGCCAACAGAUAUAGCCUUUUAUGUUCAUCUGUGUUUGCAUAGUCAUCCCAGUCACAACACACAGUCACUGCGUCAAUUGUCACCUUGCUUGACAACUCAACUUAUUUUAUAUGGGUGUUCUGGCUAUGGCCCAACCCAUCGAUUUCGGGGACCAAUCAGACGGUCUAGAAUGUAUUUCCAUGCUAGAAAUCGUCAGGGAGAUACUCAGAUGCAGACUCAUUGCAGAGAAGAAACUAACGUCCGUGGGCGUGGCAUAGCGUUUGGUUGGAGCAAGGAGUUCAGGUAGCCAGGCAACUUGUCACUUGCUAUCUAUGGGUCAUACUUAUGUCAUAUUGAUCUUUCACUACCCGCUUCUAUGGCCGCAUAUUUCACAUACCCUGUUGUUGUUGAGGAAUAGGAGUUUGAGCCAAGAGCACAGUAAGGGCAGAAUCUCAACCUGACUUGCACACUGUUAGCGCACACGUAUUAAACUUGAAUUCUUGUGUAAUCAUGCAGUUAUGUCAAAGGGAGAUUUGUGUAAGAAUUUGAAAGAUUUUGAGAAAGUAGGCAAUGUGUGCUGAUUUGGCCCUACAGAUGCUGUGUUAGUGGAUGUAGGUUGCCAAGGAGGAUUGUGUGUCUGUGGUGUUGGACUGGAGCAGGCUGAUCUGUCUUGCUGAGUUAUAGCUAGGGUCUCCUCUACAAGGCCUCAAUAGGCUAAUGUAACUGCAGUCUGAUCAACAGCACUGUAAAGCACAGCACAGUACAGAGCUGCCUUUCUGUUUCUACAG